GACGAACCGUGCAAACGUUGUUCGGAAUUACUGGGCGUAAAGGGCUCGUAGGUGGCUUACUAAGUCAAACGUGAAAUCCCUCAGCUUAACUGGGGAACUGCGUCUGAUACUGGAAAGCUUGAGUGCAGGAGAGGAACGCGGAAUUCCAGGUGUAGCGGUGAAAUGCGUAGAUAUCUGGAGGAACACCGGUGGCGAAGGCGGCGUUCUGGACUGCAACUGACACUGAGGAACGAAAGCCAGGGGAGCAAACGGG
rnacentral:rRNA from 1 species